GACGAACGCUGGCGGCGUGCUUAACUCAUGCUAGUCGAACGGAAAGGCCCUGCUUUUGUGGGGUGCUUGAGUGGCGAACGGGUGAGUAACACGUGAGUAACCUGCCCUUGACUUUGGGAUAACUUCAGGAAACUGGGGCUAAUACCGGAUAGGAGCUCCUGCUGCAUGGUGGGGGUUGGAAAGUUUCGGCGGUUGGGGAUGGACUCGCGGCUUAUCAGCUUGUUGGUGGGGUAGUGGCUUACCAAGGCUUUGACGGGUAGCCGGCCUGUGAGGGUGACCGGCCACAUUGGGACUGAGAUACGGCCCAGACUCCUACGGGAGGCAGCAGUGGGGAAUAUUGCACAAUGGGCGGAAGCCUGAUGCAGCAACGCCGCGUGCGGGAUGACGGCCUUCGGGUUGUAAACCGCUUUCGCCUGUGACGAAGCGUGAGUGACGGUAAUGGGUAAAGAAGCACCGGCUAACUACGUG
rnacentral:rRNA from 1 species